rnacentral:rRNA from 7 species
GGCGAGGGGAGUGAAAAAGAACCUGAAACCGUGUACGUACAAGCAGUGGGAGCACAGGUUUACCUGUGUGACUGCGUACCUUUUGUAUAAUGGGUCAGCGACUUAUAUUCUGUAGCAAGGUUAACCGUAUAGGGGAGCCGUAGGGAAACCGAGUCUUAACCGGGCGUUAAGUUGCAGGGUAUAGACCCGAAACCCGGUGAUCUAGCCAUGGGCAGGUUGAAGGUUGGGUAACACUAACUGGAGGACCGAACCGACUAAUGUUGAAAAAUUAGCGGAUGACCUGUGGCU